rnacentral:lncRNA from 1 species
GGGCUGGACUCCACGUGGUCUGUGCGUGGGCUCCGCCCCCUGGGGUAACCGUGCAGGCGCCCACAAGGAGGCACACAUACUCCCCGCCCCCACCCCUCUCCCAGGGCCGGGGAGACUGUCGUUCAGCAGGAUCACAACAGGCCCAGCGAGUCGCUGAGACGGAAUGCAUCAGAUCCAAUUCAUUAGGACUGAUGGCUCCCUGAAUGGGGCUGAAUAAUUGAUGAGCAGAAGCGGCUUUCAGGAUGUUCCACGCACCGGAGGCUCCCGCUCGCUGGGGCCCAGUCGUUUAUUUAUUUAUUUUGAGCCAACGAGCCCGGCCACGUGCUUGCUGGGGCAGGAGCCGAGCAAAGUUUGCAAACCUCUUUCACAUGCAUCGCUGUUUGCUGUGCUGUCUCCAUUUUACAGAAGAGGAAACUGAGACUCAUGGUCUGGCCCCAGACCACACAGCCAGGACGUGGCAGAGCUGGACUGGAAUUCAGCUCUUCCGAUAUCCAACUUUUCUUCUGCCCUGAGCCAAGCAGAAGCCUACAUGCUUCUCUUCCAAAUUAAAUCUCCUAUCAACUCAACGACUAGUUGCUGGGGCUACACUAUGCCACGAGCGGGGACGCGAAGA